rnacentral:rRNA from 1 species
GAUGAACGCUGGCGGCGUGCCUAAUACAUGCAAGUCGAGCGAACAGACGAGGAGCUUGCUCCUCUGACGUUAGCGGCGGACGGGUGAGUAACACGUGGAUAACCUACCUAUAAGACUGGGAUAACUUCGGGAAACCGGAGCUAAUACCGGAUAAUAUAUUGAACCGCAUGGUUCAAUAGUGAAAGACGGUUUUGCUGUCACUUAUAGAUGGAUCCGCGCCGCAUUAGCUAGUUGGUAAGGUAACGGCUUACCAAGGCAACGAUGCGUAGCCGACCUGAGAGGGUGAUCGGCCACACUGGAACUGAGACACGGUCCAGACUCCUACGGGAGGCAGCAGUAGGGAAUCUUCCGAAAUGGGCGAAAGCCUGACGGAGCAACGCCGCGUGAGUGAUGAAGGUCUUCGGAUCGUAAAACUCUGUUAUUAGGGAAGAACAAAUGUGUAAGUAACUAUGCACGUCUUGACGGUACCGAAUCAGAAAGCCACGGCUAACUACGU